GGCUGGUCUGAAGGUAGUGAGUUAUCUCAAUUGAUUGUUCACAGUCAGGUACAGAUUGAACUCCUUGUUCUACACUUUCCCCCUUCUCAUUUCUGCACUUGACUAGUCUUAA
rnacentral:Y_RNA from 1 species